rnacentral:rRNA from 1 species
AUUGAACGCUGGCGGCAUGCUUUACACAUGCAAGUCGGACGGCAGCAUAAAAGAGCUUGCUCUUUUGAUGGCGAGUGGCGAACGGGUGAGUAAUGCAUCGGAACGUACCGAGUAGUGGGGGAUAACUGUCCGAAAGGAUGGCUAAUACCGCAUAUUCUCUGAGGAGGAAAGCAGGGGACCUUAGGGCCUUGCGCUAUUUGAGCGGCCGAUGUCUGGUUAGCUAGUUGGUGGGGUAAGAGCCCACCAAGGCGACGAUCAGUAGCGGGUCUGAGAGGAUGAUCCGCCACACUGGGACUGAGACACGGCCCAGACUCCUACGGGAGGCAGCAGUGGGGAAUUUUGGACAAUGGGCGCAAGCCUGAUCCAGCCAUGCCGCGUGUAUGAAGAAGGCCUUCGGGUUGUAAGGUACUUUUGUCAGGGAAGAAAAGCCUGAGGAUAACACCCUCAGGUCAUGACGGUACCUGAAGAAUAAGCACCGGCUAACUACGUGCCAGCAGCCGCGGUAAUACGUAGGGUGCGAGCGUUAAUCGGAAUUACUGGGCGUAAAGCGAGCGCAGACGGUUAUUUAAGCAAGAUGUGAAAGCCCCGGGCUCAACCUGGGAACUGCGCUUUGAACUGGGUAACUAGAGUGUGUCAGAGGGGGGUAGAAUUCCACGUGUAGCAGUGAAAUGCGUAGAGAUGUGGAGGAAUACCGAUGGCGAAGGCAGCCCCCUGGGAUAACACUGACGUUCAUGCUCGAAAGCGUGGGUAGCAAACAGG